GGAAUACCACCUUAAGUUUAGCCUAUUCAUAUGACUAAAAUAUGCCUGUCCCAGCAUUAGAAAAUAAACGACUUACAUUGAUUGUGGAAUAUAUAUAAAUAAAAAAUCCGACCAUUUCAUCCAAAACAACUCAAACGUCAUAAAACUUGUAGAAAUACUGCAAGAUUCUGAUAAACAUUAAAACUUCAGGUCUAUCUACUUCAUUCUACUUGUGCCAGGAUAGUCUUUUUUAUUUACCUCUUUAUUUAAUUAUUUAAUUUUGAAAGAUAAAAGAAAA
rnacentral:misc_RNA from 1 species